UAAAGAUAAUGAAAAUGUAUAAGGGGCAUACAAUUACAAGAGGAUGAAUAAUAAAAAUGAUCGAGUUCAUGUAUUUGCAUUUCUAGGUGUGACGAGUAAAAAAUUUGCUUACUAGAGAGAGGAUAUUAUGAGGAAGAAUAAUUAUUUAAUAGUAGGUGGAAAUAGUUUCAUUGGUAUUAACCUCACGUUAGGUUUAUUAGAACAGGGGCAAAAUGUAAAAGUAUUUUCCAGGCAUAUAAAUAAUUUCCCUCGAAAUAUUAUAAAUGAAGUUGAAUUUAUUACAGGUGAUUUAGAAAAUGUUGAAGAUAUAUAUAAAGCUUUAGUGAAUGUGGAUAUUAUUAUUUAUUUAGCUGCGACGUCUAAUGUAGCAACUUCCAUCGAAGAUAUUUUUGGGGAUAUUAACAGUAGCCUUUUUUUUCUUAAUUUCAUGGAAAGUGUUAAAGAUUUUCGUAUUAAAAAAAUUGUAUUAGCAUCUUCAGGGGGUACAGUUUAUGGGGAACCUGAAUAUUUGCCUAUUGAUGAGAAGCAUCCGUUGAAACCACUUUCUCCAUAUGGAAUCACAAAAGUUUCGCUUGAGAAUUAUUUGUAUUUUUAUAAGCGAAACUACGGCAUCGACUAUGUUGUAUGUAGAUACUCUAAUCCAUAUGGGAAAUAUCAAAAUCCUUUAAAGAAAGUUGGGGCAAUAAAUUGUUUUUUGUACCAACAUCUUAGUAAUGAAAGGAUUAAUAUAUACGGGAAUCCACAAGAGAUUAUUAGAGAUUAUAUUUAUAUCGAUGAUUUAGUUGAAAUUACUAUACAACUAUCACAAUUAAAUCGAUUGAAAUCUUGUGUAUAUAAUAUAGGAAGUGGCAAAGGUCUUUCUUUAAAACGAAUUAUAGUGGAAUUGGAGAAAAUAACAGAAAGAAAAGUAGACUUUAUCUGUUAUAAACCAAAACAAGAAAAUGUUCAAAAAAUCAUUUUAAAUAUAGAUAAGGUGAGACAAGAAUUUAAUUGGGAACCUAAAAUAGAUUUCAAAAGUGGAAUUAGAUUAAAUAAGUUAUGGAUUGAAGAGUUCUUAUAUAGUAAAAAAUAAUAAACCAUGCUCUACUUAUAUAAGCAGAGCAUGGUUUAUUAUUUUAUUUCUUUUUUUAUUACCCAAAGAUCUUGAUGAUCCCACCAAAACCCUUCAGUGUAUUUUUUAAUGAUAGGGUUAUAGGGUAAUAACUUAAUUUUGUCACACACGUAAGAGGGGCUAACUAUCGUUUGGCCAUAUUGGUUAACAUCUAAAUCGAAUUGUUCACUAGAAGGAAGGAACCAAUAGCCUUGUUCAUUUAAAUUUGGAAAUCCAAAGUAUUUUUUACUUUGAUACCCAUGGGUGGUGAAAAUGAAUAAACCACCAGGUGAAACAGCACUAUACAAUGUUUGAAGCCAACGAAACCAAGUUGUAUCAGGCAUAUGAGAAAAAAAGGAUAGACAAAAAACAAUAUCGUACGUAGAAGUUUCCAAUUUUAAAUGUUCAAGUAUGUUUUUAGGUAUUUUCUAUAUGUAUACAUCUUCAUUUUAGAAAUAUCGUCGAUAGUAAAGUUCUGUUUAAUGAAAUUCUGCAUUUGUACAACUUCAUUAUAAUGAGAAUAUGAAUCUUCUGUUUUCGUUACACUAUUUGUAUGUCGUCUAUGAUAGUUUAGGGACUUUGGAUUAAAGUGAAUAUGUCCCUCUUGCAGGAUGGAAACAUAGAAAAACCAAUCACCAGCAACUUUAAAUUUUGCUAGUUGUUUUUCUGUGUUUUUUAUAUCUAUGUUUUUAAAAACUACACUUGAGACAUUAGGUAUAGUGUUUUUAAUAAGUAACGUAUCUUGUAUUUCAUCUAUGCCUUUUCGAAAAUAGGGGGUUUUCCAUUUUUCUUUAUCGAUAUCAUUUGUGUAAUUUAAAUAAUGAUCAGCUAUUACAUUUCCUUGUUCGUCUAUUUGUUUUGAUUGUGUGUAGCUUAAGGUAACCUUGUUAUUUAUAUGAAAUCCAUGUAUCACCUCUUGUAAAAAUGUCUUCUCACAUAAGUCAUCUGAUUCUGCGAUCCAAAUAUAAUCACCGGUUGCUUCGGAGAUUCCUUUUAUCCAUUGUUUAAAUACAGAACCAGAGUUUUUUUCGUUAAUAAUUCGUUGAACUUUCAGAUGAGGCUUAUUUUCUUUUGAGAGCAGCUUUUCAAAUGUUGAUACGCUAUUGUCAGUAGAGGCGUCGUCUAGGAAAAUUAGUUCGUAAAGGGGGUAGGUUUGGUUUAAUAUUGAUCUGACUCGGUCAGGUAAGUAGUGUUCAUAAUUAUAGUUUGGUACAAUUACACUUAUUUUUUUGUAAUUAUGUUCGAGAAGCGCUAAUAAUUGAUAAAUGUAAUUAAGAAAAUUAAAGUUUUUUUCAAUGAGCUCUUGGCCAAAGCUCCCCUUUUGUAAGCGUAACUCUUCAUCUCCAAUAAGUUCAUAUAUUCUUUCGACCAUUUUUGGUAAGUUUAAAAAGUCUACUAAGGCACCGGUUUUUUCUGUAACAACAUCCUCAAAACCUCCAGCAUUUUUAAAACCUAUCACAGGAACCUUUGUAUCUAAUGCUUCUAAAACAACAUUUGGAAAAGGGUCUUCCCUUGAGGUUAAUAAAUAUAAAUCAGCCCCGGCAUUAUAUAAACCGAUAUCUGGAGUAGGAUCAACUAAUGUGAAAUGUGCUUUAUAUCUUGGUGAUAGAGUAUCCAUAAGGUGAACAUCUGUUCUCCCUACCCAAAUAAAAUGAAUAUUAGUAUGAACCUUUCUUACUGAGUAAGCAAUAAAUGAGAAUAAAUCUAUUCCUUUUCGAUAAUCGGCGAAACCUACACCUAAAAUAAUUUUACUAUCUAGAGGCAGGUUGAGUUUUUUGCGUAAUUCAUUUCUAGCCACUGUAAUAUUAUUCUUAUAAGGAUUGUGGUUAAAUAAACCUUGAGGGAGAAUGUGACAUUUUUGAUGAUCUAAUUGCGUGAUUGUAAGGAAUUUUUCAUAUACGUAUUGUGAAGGGAAGACAAUUUUGUAAGCAGAUUCAGCAAUGUUUCUAGCUUUUCCUUCGGCAGAGUACUGUUGUAUUAAAUGCGGUAAUUCAUGUAUUAACGAAAUAACUUUUAUAUUGUGCCUAGCUAGUAAUGCAACCAUAUCACCACUUAUGACCGUACUGCAUAUGGCAAUGGUAUAGUCUUGUGAUAAUAAAGUCUUUAUUAAUAAUUCGACCGUUUCUUCCGUGGGGUAGUCUUCCUCUAAGCAAUAAACAGGACCAUAUUUUUGAAAAUCGGGGAUUAAAAUGCCUGAUCCAAUAGAAAUAAUUGCGACGGAGUAAUCGAAGUUUUCUUUAAGAGCUUUAAUAGUAUGUAAAGAAAGCAGCUGUGCUCCGUGGAAAUGGGCAUCAUGGGAUACAUAAAUGAUUUUCUUAUUAACAUGCAUUUCAUAACGCCUCCUAAGUUUAUUAGAUUUCUUUACCUUUCUAUCGACUUAGUAAAGGAAAAGAAGAUAAGGAAGUAUUUUAUUUAUAAUCCCCCUAGAGAUAAGCGAGAGGGGAAAAUGGUAAUUUUAGCUCGGGUGCACUACUACCCUUAAUAUAUAUUUACUUAGCCUGACAUUCAUUCUUUAGAAAAGUAUUAGUAUUAAGCUAAAGGUUAUAAAUUGUCGAUUAUUAAUUUAACUAAAGGAGUUUUAGAAUCUCUAGGGAUGGAUUAGAAAUUAAGAGGUUUAUAAUUUAUAAAAUAAAAAACAUAAAAGGUAUUGACGAUUAAGGGUUAGAAGUGUAAUAUAGAACAAGUCGCCGAUGCAAUAACGCAGAAAACGACAAACGAAACAAAAAACUUAGUUGACAUUGAAACAUGAAGAUGUUAACAUAAGGGAGUCGCAAAUGAGCGACCAAGUAGUUCUUUGAAAACUGAACGAAACAAACAACGUGAAACGUCAAUUUUUAUUUUUAGAUGCUAGACAAACUAACUUUAUUGGAGAGUUUGAUCCUGGCUCAGGAUGAACGCU
rnacentral:rRNA from 2 species